rnacentral:rRNA from 1 species
UAACCCCCAUGCAAUUCGAACGAGGUCCCAGCCGGGGCAACCCUGGGGAAGACCUAGUGGCGAACGGGGGAGUAACACGUGAGCAACCUGCCCCGAAGACCGGGAUAACAGUGGGAAACCGCUGCUAAUACCGGGAUGUCCCCCACCGGGCCGCAUGACCUGGUGAGGAAAGGGUUACUGCUUCGGGAGGGGCUCGCGGCCUAUCAGCUAGUUGGUGGGGUGAAGGCCUACCAAGGCGACGACGGGUAGCUGGUCUGAGAGGACGAUCAGCCACACUGGGACUGAGACACGGCCCAGACUCCUACGGGAGGCAGCAGUGGGGAAUCUUGCGCAAUGGGCGAAAGCCUGACGCAGCAACGCCGCGUGAGGGAUGACGGCCUUCGGGUUGUAAACCUCUUUCGAGCAGGGACGAUAGUGACGGUACCUGCAGAAGAAGCUCCGGCCAACUACGUGCCAGCAGCCGCGGUAAUACGUAGGGAGCGAGCGUUGUCCGGAAUCAUUGGGCGUAAAGAGCUCGUAGGCGGCUUGGUAAGUCGGAUGUGAAGCCUCCAGGCUCAACCUGGAGUCGCCAUCCGAUACUGCCAUGGCUAGAGUCCGGUAGGGGCCCACGGAACUCCUGGUGUAGCGGUGAAAUGCGCAGAUAUCAGGAAGAACACCGGUGGCGAAGGCGGUGGGCUGAGCCAGGAUCAAACUCUAAUCG